UACCGGCGGCUCGAGUGGUGGCCGAUAUUAUUGAGUCUAAAGGGUCCGUAGCCGGCUCCGUGGGUCCCCCGGGAAAUCCAGCGGCUCAACCGUUGGGCGCCCGUGGGAUACCGCGCUGCUUGGGACCGGGAGAGGUGGGAGGUACUCGGGGGGUAGGGGUGAAAUCCUGUAAUCCUCCGGGGACCACCGGUGGCGAAGGCGUCCCACCAGAACGGGUCCGACGGUGAGGGACGAAAGCUAGGGGC
rnacentral:rRNA from 1 species